CCUGCAGUGAAGGCAUAGAGAAUUGCAAAACUUGCAGAUGCUCCUCUCAGAGGUCUAAUGAGACUGGCCUCAUGAACUGAAGGCCUGUGUACCGUGCCACUCCACAUCAAAUAUAUUGCAGCCAAAGCAUUCAUCUUCCUGGUUCAAUCCAUUUGUCAUUUUGCCCUGUCCUUUACAUCUACGAAAGCCUGCAUUUACCAGUAUUAUAUACAUGUCCACACUACCUCCAAGGCCCUACAGGUGGCUGAUAAAAGUCACAUCCAACUCGGAUCUGCACUGCUUUCUUCAACCACCAACAAAGAGCCAUUGGCCGUAGACAGACCAGUGGAAGAUUCCUUGAUGUGUUGCCUGAUCUUCUGAUGCCAAUUGAAGGGGGCGUCCGAGGAAGCCAGGUGUAAAGGCUGCCAAUGAUGA